AACAUACGAUUGUAAUUUUAAUGAUUAAAAAGCCUCAACUUCUUAUUAUUAAUAAGCUCAUUAUGAGAAUUGUUUUCAUUUUUGUUUAAUUUUAUUUACAUUAUUUGAGGUUUUUUUGUGAAUUUGGAGCAUUUAAUGAAGCUGUUUAUAUUCUACAAUAUAAAACUUACACAUUGUGGGUGUUUUAGGUGCUAAUUUGAUUACUUUCUUCUUCUGAAUUUGUUUAAAUUUGACGACUCUCGGACGAAUAAAAUGAGAAAUAACUGAAUUUGAAACUUGCAUAUUUAUUUAGAUAUCUUUGUGUAAAUGUGACAGAAGCUUUGAAACAACAGUAAUACAUAAUAAAAUGAACGUGACAGAAACGGUUAACUACUAAAUAAAAUAUAUAAAAAAACAAAUUACCUUUAUUAUUUUAAAACAGGAAUGUUAGAGAAUAUUUUAUAAGUUACAUGUUUUCAUGUUGUGCAAACAGUUUCUGCAGCAGAAAGACGCUCCGGUCCGUUCAGCCGAGGAAGACGAAGAGGAAGAAAACACACAUUCUUUGUGUUGAGACUCUCGUUAAGCGUCCGCCUGCUGAGGCAGCAACCAAACCAUAAAGAAACCUACAUAUAACACCUCAUCAAUUAUUCUACAGCACAUACAAUGACCGCUCUACAGGGAAUUAAAGCUGCACACGUGAGAACCAUCAGAGUAGCUUUACAGCGGAGGUCGACAAACAGCUGUACUUCAAAUCAUUUACACAGAAAAUACAGGAUUCACAUGUUUGUUAUUUGUAGUGUUUGAAUAUUAAAGUUUGGAUGAAAGCAAGCAGAUAAUUAUCUAGAAAUAAAAGAUGAAUCUCAAUAAAUACAAUAUAUAUUAUUAUAUUUUAAACAUAUUUAUGUUGUUUAUUUCUUUAUUUCCUGUGUGAACUCACUGCUUUCGAUUUUGUAUUGAAUUCAGCACAAGGUACCCUUCAUUUUAUUAUUUUUAUUGAACUUUUAUUAUAAGGAGAAAUUGACAAAUUCUAAAUUAAAAUCAAGACAAUAUUUAUAGAUAAAACUUGUUUUCAGAUUAUUUUAUAAUUUUAAAUGAUUUCAGUAGUGUUUUAGAUAUUGUUUUUAUUUAUUUAUUGCCUUUAUUGUCUUUUAAUUCCCAUAUUUAUGUGUGCGAAGAUGCCCUUAAAACACAAGAUGUCACAUCUCCACAGGUCAUGCUUCAAUUCAGAAACAUGAAAUAAAAUGUUCAUAUGUAAAUAGUUGUUUUAUUAUUCUCUUUUAUGUGCAUUUUAAUUAAUUUUGACAUUUGAAUAUUGAACAAAUGUGUGAAAGAAUAAAAAUGAUGAGAGAAUUGCAGAUGAGACAUUAAAUAAAUAUGUAGCAGUUAAAGCAGUGAAAUGUUUUCUGAGAUUUAUUUAUUUAUUGCUUCAGUUUCCUUUUUAAAACCCCUUUAAUUUCUUGCUGUGAUAUUUUCAUUAAUUCGGUUUAAUCUGUGAUUUGCUCGAGGAUUAUAUCUCGCACCGUAUAAACAUAAGAUCAUAUUUAUCUUUAAAUGCUGCUGAUUCCAGUUUUUCUUUCUUUCUCGUAUUUCGGUUUCAGAUUCUGAUAUUUAUUCCUGACGUCUGCUCUCACGGAUCCGCUGCUGCUUUUACCUUUUACUUUUCCUACCUCGGCCUUUUG
rnacentral:lncRNA from 15 species